rnacentral:rRNA from 1 species
UGAAGAAUCUGCCCUCCACUUUGGGAUAACACACGGGAAACCUGUGCUAAUACCGAAUAUUGAAACAUAAGUGGCAUCACUGAGUUUUGAAAGAAUUUCGGUGGAGGAUGACUUCGCGGCCUAUCAGCUAGUUGGUGAGGUAAUGGCUCACCAAGGCAACGACGGGUAGCCGGCCUGAGAGGGCGACCGGCCACACUGGGACUGAGACACGGCCCAGACUCCUACGGGAGGCAGCAGUGGGGAAUAUUGGGCAAUGGAGGAAACUCUGACCCAGCGACGCCGCGUGCGGGAUGAAGGCCUUCGGGUUGUAAACCGCUUUCAGUAGGGAAGAAGCGAAAGUGACGGUACCUACAAAAGAAGCACCGGCUAACUAUGUGCCAGCAGCCGCGGUAAUACAUAGGGUGCAAGCGUUGUCCGGAAUUAUUGGGCGUAAAGAGCUCGUAGGUUGUUUGUUACGUCGGAUGUG